rnacentral:rRNA from 4 species
CCGCCUGGGGAGUACGGCCGCAAGGUUAAAACUCAAAUGAAUUGACGGGGGCCCGCACAAGCGGUGGAGCAUGUGGUUUAAUUCGAUGCAACGCGAAGAACCUUACCUGGUCUUGACAUCCACAGAACUUUCCAGAGAUGGAUUGGUGCCUUCGGGAACUGUGAGACAGGUGCUGCAUGGCUGUCGUCAGCUCGUGUUGUGAAAUGUUGGGUUAAGUCCCGCAACGAGCGCAACCCUUAUCCUUUGUUGCCAGCG